rnacentral:tRNA from 1 species
GUUUAGAUAGCUCAGUUGGUUAGAGCAAAGGACUGAAAAUCCUUGGGACGGCAGUUCAAAUCUGUCUCUAAACA